rnacentral:rRNA from 1 species
AACGAACGCUGGCGGCAGGCCUAACACAUGCAAGUCGAACGCUCCAGCAAUGGAGAGUGGCAGACGGGUGAGUAACACGUGGGAACCUUCCCUACGGUCGGGAAUAGCCCAGGGAAACUUGGGGUAAUACCGGAUACGCCCUUCGGGGGAAAGAUUUAUCGCCGUUGGAUGGGCCCGCGUCGGAUUAGCUAGUUGGUGGGGUAAUGGCCUACCAAGGCGACGAUCCGUAGCUGGUCUGAGAGGAUGAUCAGCCACACUGGGACUGAGACACGGGCCAGACUCCUACGGGAGGCAGCAGUGGGGAAUAUUGGACAAUGGGCGCAAGCCUGAUCCAGCCAUGCCGCGUGAGUGACGAAGGCCUUAGGGUUGUAAAGCUCUUUUGGCGGGGAAGAUAAUGACGGUACCCGCAGAAUAAGCUCCGGCUAACUUCGUGCCAGCCGCCGCAGUAAAAC